AAAAAAAAAAAAAGAGAGAAGUUCUCUUUGAUCCUUUUUUUUGUUCUGGCACACCCAGGGGGUAACCUCUAUCAGUAGAAUGAACGUAGAGACUUUUUCUAUGUAUUUCAGCGAAUGGGGUCAUACACAUACUUACCUUACACAAAUUCAGUUUUAGCCAAAACAGAGCAAAACAAAACAAGACUCUGAUCCACAUAACGAGUCGAUCAAUGGCCUGGAGAAACGUAGGGCGAAUGACAUAAUCCCUCAGUUAAAACCCGGGUCCCUCAACUGUCCUGUGCUUCUCAGAGUGGGACCAUUUCACCACCCCCAGAGAUGAUUUUAAAUAUCUUCAAAGAUAAUUCUGAUAAUACUUGAUUUUUGCUCUAAACAUUAACUUUUGAACCCAACUCCUAUUGAAAGUUGUACUGUAUACACGACAUUGCCGUGAUGCCCAGUGCAAGUCCUGAGAUGGGGAAAGUCAGUUCACAUGUUGGAUCCACAAAAUGAAGUCUGUCCCUUGGCCCAGCCCAUCUGAGGACAUUAGGGAAACGUCUCACUGUUUAAACAACCUAAUGCCAAUCACAGUCUUCCAACUUAGCAAAAGUGGACGGCUGAUUCUUACGGUGUUAGAGGUCACCCUGGAGUUGGUGCAACCAGCUCAGAACUGCCAGAUAAUUCUCCUUCAGAUCUGGCCACGUGACAGAAAUAGCCGUGGUCAGAGAACCCCCAAGCUCCUGCCCAGCUGUUCCUGCGUGGAGCAGGGCAGAGCUGCACCGAGUUGCUAAGGACCCAUUCUGCGAACCUUUUAGUCCUAGCAAAGGCUUCAAAGCCAGAGUGGUUCCUCCCUUGGAGCAGGAGAGAAAGUGGGGAUCGGAAGGGCUGCUGGAAAUCAUCUAACCCAGUCAUGUCACUUAGAUUUUCGUUUUCAAUUCUUUCAAUUUGCAAAUGAGGAAUUUAAGGCUGCGAAGGGGAACUGUCUAGGGGUGCCUGGGGGCUCAGUUGGGCAUCUGCCUUCAGGGUCCUGGGAUCAAGCCCCAUGUCGGGUUCCCUUUUAGCAGGGAGUCUGCUUCUCCCUCUCUGCCGCUCCCCCCUGCUUGUUUGCUCUCCCUCUCUCUGUUUCUCCCUCUGUCUCUCUCUCUCUCAAAUAAAAAAAUAAAUAAAAUCUUUAAAAAAAUAAUUUAAAAAAAGGGGGAAGUGUCUGGUUGGAGAUCACACAUUUGCGUUAGUGAAAGAGGGGAAAUGAGAACUCAGGCCUUCUCACUUCUAAUUCAGUGUUCCUUCCUGAGCACUGUGCUUUGGAAGCACCAGGAGAAACAAAAUUAAACCAUGUUCUUUACCACCAGACUUCUGAGUCUUUCACAUGCUAAUAUGUAGCAUUUCUUUCUGAGACUUGAAUAUAGUUUUCAGACAUUCCCAAACUUUUUGGACCAGAUUACUUUUUUAAUGCGGUGUCUAUUUACAUUCUCCAAAAGAGUAUUAAAGGAUUCUUCAUAACAGCUUAGGCAACGUGGCCCCACACCAUGCUGUUAUGGUUAAGUGCUACGCACAAAAAAUUACCCAUCCAUGAUCCCCGCAAUCCAUGUCGUUGUGCAGCACUGAUGCGGAGACCCGGGAUACUCAGCUGCUGGCAAACAUCAUCUGUCCUUCUAAAUAUCAGCAGGGAGCUCUGCAUCUCAAAAUGCAGAAGUGUGUGGGGCGGGGAAGGGGGAACAUGCCCAGGACAAGGGUCAGCUCUUCUCUGACUCAUCUCAACGGAUCUGGGGUUUAGGGCUGCUCAGCCUUCACUCCACGUGCAAUGAUUGUGCUGCUGUGAUGUGUCCUAGAUUCUUCUAGGCCUUCAAGGACAUCACAGUCUAGGAAGGGAACAUGCAUACCAAGGAGUGAGCCCUGUGGUAGAGGCAUGGCAGGAACAUGUAACGAAGCAAAGGAACUGAAGAUUCAUGGAUGACUAAAACCUGGUGUCUGUCCUAGAGGAGCUCAAGUCAAAAGACAGGUCAUUCUGAAGCCCUCCCUUCUUACAUCUAUUUUUUUCCUGACCGAUGGAGGAGAGGAGAGCCCAGUCCUCUUGACUGUGUUCCAGUUGUCUGUCUCUCAUAUCUCCACAUGGGCUGGGAUAUUUGGAACAGCAAAGACUAUACUGUUUCAGCUCAGCCACUGACUUGUUGGAAAACUAGAAGAUUCAGCUUCAUGGGCCUUCCCUGUAAUAGUCUGUUGGAGUAAAGAAGUGGUCCUUUCUUUAGAUGGGGCAUGUAUUCUCCACUUGCUACUGUCCCUACCUGGACUACUGCAUUCAUUUACUGACCCUGUUCAGCAUCUGCAUCAGUGAUUCUUGUCAACGAAAAAGGCCAAAAAUCUGUCUCUCUUUACCUCGCAGAAGGUCACCACAGAAUUUCCCCUUAAUGGGAAGAGAAAUACGUUGGAAUAUGUCUUCAGAAAUAUGCUGGUUGCCAUGUUGUCAGAGUUGUCCAGAAGAAAGGUGCUCUCACCAAACAACACCAUCCGUUUUCCUUGGCAGUCACAGAGAGAGAGAGAGGCAGAGACACAAGCAGAGGGAGAAGCAGGCUCCAUGCACCGGGAGCCCGACGUGGGAUUCGAUCCUGGGUCUCCAGGAUCGCGCCCUGGGCCAAAGGCAGGCGCCAAACCGCUGCGCCACCCAGGGAUCCCUGUGAUGUCCCUUAUUAUAAGAGCACUGAUUUCAUCAUGGAGUCUGUCUAAACCUAAUUAUCUCCAAAGAUCCCAUCUCCAAAUUUCUUUUCUUUUUUUUAAGAGAAAGAGAAAGUGUGCACUAGUGGGGGGCAGAGGGAGAGAAGGGAGAGAGAAUCCUAAGCAGGCUCCACAUCCAGUGCAGAGCCCAGUGUGGGGCUCAAUCUCACCACCCUGAGAUCAUGACCUGAGACGAGAUCAAGAGUCAGACAAUUAAUUGACUGAGCCAUCCAGGUGCCCCUGGGUGUAAAACUUUUUAAGCUGAAUGUUAAUAAAAUGUUCUUGAUCACUAUGCUAUGCAGCUUCUUUCCAUGUGAAGGAUGUACACUCAACUCUUCACAGAGAUGAACACAUCCUUUUUUGAAGGAUUUCAAAAAAAGUGCACUUAUCUUCUGUGUUCAAAUCAUAUGCUCUCCUUUCUCUUUAGACAUUGAAUGAAAUAAACUCAGACCCUCUGGUACAGCAAAGGUUUUUGCUUUUAAAAAACAAAAUAUCUGUCAAUCAACUUUCCUGACUCUGACUCCAUGAACAUUAUGUAAACUUCUGAUAAAAAUUUAGCUUAUCCUGUUGAGUGUCUUGCACAAAAAGUGUAAAUACUCAAACCUGAACACUCUGGACUGCAUUUUUCAUUAUUAACACUUGUCUUUCCAGUUGCUACAUGUCAUCUAUUGUGGAUUUGGUUAGAUGAGCUAGUCCCCAAAUCUUAAUCACCCUGGGAGCAAUGACAAAAUAGUUCCUGGGUCUCCAAAACUGAAGACUUUCCCAGACUCCAUGUUGUCUCUUGUCCUUGGCUUAGCAUGUUCCUCUUCACACCAGCCAUUGAUCCAAUGAAGGUAUACAUUCACAAUACUUUUCCUUGAUUGGAAUCUGGAUGAUCAUUGAUUAGAGUGGCUUACUUUUACAGCUGGCUGACUUCAUUGAUUAUAUAGAGAUCUUCACCUUGAUCAGAAUUGGACUAGAGGGGUGCCUCAGUGGAUCAGCUGGUUAAGCGCCUACCUUCAGUCCAAGUCAUGAUCCUGGGGUCCUGGGAUUGAGCCCCAUGUUAGGCUCCCUGCUCAUCUGGGAGUCUGCUUCUCUCUCUCCCUCUUCUCCUCCCCCAAACUCAUGCUUUCUCUCUCUCUCUCUUAAAUAAAUAAAUAAAAUCUUAAAAAAAAUUUUUCGACUAGAUUUCUACAAAAAAAAAGAAAAAGAGUAUCAGACUAUAAAACGAUUAACUCUAAAUCCUAUAGUGAUUACCAUUUCUUACUGGACAGAGGAGUUUGGAACUUAUUUCAAAAAUAAUGAAAGGUCUUUGAAGGGUUCUGAUUUUCAAAAGGGCACAAUUGGCCUUAACUUACUUUUUUGGGGCGCCUGGGUGGCUCAGUCAGUUAAGUGUCCAACUCUUGAUGUUGGCUCAGGUCGUGAUCUCAGGGUCCUGAGAUGGAGCCCUACAUCAGGCCCCAUGCUCAGUGGGGAGUCUGCUUGAGAUUCUUUCUUUCCCUCUCCCUUUGCCCCUCCCCCCACUUGUCCACACAUUUUCUCUCUAAAAACAACAACCACCACAACAACAAAACCCUCAAAGGGGCAGGAGUGGAGUUGUGAAGAACAGACUGGCAUUGAGAGGUCUGUACGAAUAUUACUGCACUAUUUCAAAUUCAAUGUCAACUGACUUUCAGUGCUAUAGUCAUCCCACACCCGCACAGCUGUGCUCACUUCGGCAGCACAUUUACCACACCCAUACAGCUUGGAUCCACUUACUUCCCUAUCCCCUUUGCCAUCACCCUAAUCCAAGCCAUUAUCACUCUCACUUCAUUUUCUAUAAAGUCUCCUAACGAGUCUCCCUGCUUCCUCUUUUUCUCCCACUAAAAAUCAAUCCACUAUAUGGCAACUAGAGAAUUUUUUUCAAAAAAAGAACUUUAUUUUGAUGCAAUUCAUGCACCCUAAAUUGACCCAUUUAAAAUAUAUAAUCAAGUGGAUUUUAGUAUAUUCACAAAAUUAUGCAACCGUUGCAAGUGUCUUAUUUCAUAAGAUUUUAUUUUAAAGUAAUUUCUACAUCCAACAUGGGGUUCAAACUCACAAUCCCAAGAUGAAGAGUUGCAUGCUCUACUGACUGAGCCAGCCAGGCACCCCAAAAGUGUCUAAUUUUAAAUCAUUUUGAUUACUCCUCAAAAAUUCCCAUACCUAAUAAUAGUCGUUUCCCAUUCCUCCUCCCUCUCAGCCCCUAUCAACCACUAAUGUACUUUC